GACCCCCUAGCUCAAUGGCAGAGCAGUGGACUUUUAAUCCAACGGUUCAGGGUUCGAGUCCCUGGGGGGUCACCG
rnacentral:tRNA from 1 species